ACACAUGCAUAAGUAAAAAUGGAGCAACAGAAACAGGCUGGAGCUUCUUGUGGGUUAUCUUAUUUGGUGUAGUGGCGGCAGGAGUUGCAGGAUAUGCAGUGUACAAGUACAGGAUCCGGAGGUAUAUGGACUCAGAGAUCUGUGCCAUCAUGGCUCAAUACAUGCCCCUGGACAACAAAGGAGAUGUUCAGAGUCAUUCUCAUCAUAUUGAGAUGUGAGGAGGAUGAAGACUAUGAGAGGAAACUGAGACAUGAUCCAGCUUAUAUCGACACAAGUGACAUGUGCAUAACCAUAACGAUCUUAUGUCUCACACGCAAAUACCAAUAAAGGAGAUGGUAGACGGGAAUGACUGGUGUGUAGUCAUGUUUGUGGUCAGUGGUAUAGGGGUACAAGUGCCAACAAAUAGAAAACUGUACCUGGCGUCUGUGAAUGAGAAAUUGCGUGUAUUUGUAAGGGGAGGGGGCUG